rnacentral:rRNA from 1 species
GACAGAGGGUGCAAACGUUGUCCGGAAUUAUUGGGCGUAAAGAGCUCGUAGGCGGUUUGUCGCGUCGAAUGUGAAAACCCGGGGCUCAACCCCGGGCCUGCAUUCGAUACGGGCAGACUAGAGUUCGGUAGGGGAGUCUGGAAUUCCUGGUGUAGCGGUGAAAUGCGCAGAUAUCAGGAGGAACACCGGUGGCGAAGGCGGGACUCUGGGCCGAUACUGACGCUGAGGAGCGAAAGCGUGGGGAGCGAACAGG